GCGUAGAUAUCGGGAGGAAUACCAGUGGCGAAGGCGGCUCUCUAGUCUACACCUGACACUGAGGUGCGAAAGCGUGGGUAGCGAACGGGAUUAGAUACCCCGGUAGUCCACGCUGUAAACGAUGGAUACUAGGUGUAGGGGGUCAUUUAACCCCUCUGUGCCGAAGCAUACGCGUUAAGUAUCCCGCCUGGGGACUACGGCCGCAAGGUUAAUACUCAAAGGAAUUGACGGGGGCCCGCACAAGCAGCGGAGCGUGUGGUUUAAUUCGACGAUACGCGAAGAACCUUACCUGGGCUGAACUACGUGGUAGUAGUGAAGCGAAAGCGGAUCGACCCUUCGGGGAGCCUCGAUAGGUGCUGCAUGGCUGUCGUCAGCUCGUGCCGUGAGAUGUUGGGUUAAGUCCCGCAACGAGCGCAACCCUCGUCGCUAGUUACAACUCUCUAGCGAGACUGCCGGUAUCAAACCGGAGGAAGGUGGGGAUGACGUCAAGUCAGCAUGGUCUUUAUGUCCAGGGCUACACACACGCUACAAUGGUCGGUACAAUAGGUUGCCACACCGCGAGGUGGAGCUAAUCCUCAAAGCCGAUCUCAGUUCGGAUUGUAGUCUGCAACUCGACUACAUGAAGGCGGAGUUGCUCGUCACCGCGCGUCAGCAUAGUGCGGUGAUGCGUUCCCGGGCAUGUACACACCGCCCGUCACAUCAUGGGAGUCGGU
rnacentral:rRNA from 1 species